CCUUCGGGAGGCAGCAGUGGGGGAUCUUGGACAAUGGGGGGAACCCUGAUCCAGCGACGCCGCGUGAGUGAAGAAGUAUUUCGGUAUGUAAAGCUCUGUCCGCAGGGAAGAAAGCAAUGACGGUACCUGACCAAGAAGCCCCGGCUAACUCCGUGCCAGCAGCCGCGGUAAUACGUAGGGGGCAAGCGUUAUCCGGAAUUACUGGGUGUAAAGGGAGCGUAGACGGCUGUGCAAGUCUGGUGUGAAAGGGGGGGGCCCAACCCCCGGACUGCUCCUGAAACUGGAUGGCUGGAGUGCAGGAGGGGUAAGCGGAAUUCCUAGUGUAGCAGUGAAAUGCGUAGAUAUUAGGAGGAACACCAGUGGCGAAGGCGGCUUACUGGACUGUAACUGACGUUGAGGCUCGAAGGCGUGGGGAGCAAACAGGAUUAGAUACCCCAGUAGUC
rnacentral:rRNA from 1 species